UUGGCCCUGAAUCAAGGCCGGCAGUUGGCUGAAGCUGUUGGUUUCAAGCAGGAGCCUAAAGAAAUGUCUUUCUAUAGUCUGUUGGCCAUUUCAGAUAUUUGGAAAUGCAAUGGUCAAUUCAUUAGAAAGAAUCAUCU
rnacentral:snoRNA from 1 species